CUACACAGAAUCCGGCACCAAUAUUGAGUCGUUCUAUACUUCUAUAGAAGAGUUAAUGUUAGAACUAGUAACACAGAAUUUACUUCUCUCUAUGUAAGUGUAAAUCAGAUCGAAUAAAUCACUGAUAAUUACCCAGCACGAAACUAAUGUAGUAACUUCACUAGAAAAUCCUACAACCUCUACUCUGUUAACCUAACACAAGAACAUAAGAAAAAGAUUAAAAGACAAAGAAGGAACUCGGCAAAUUAAAGUCCCGCCUGUUUACCAAAAACAUCGCCUUUUGAAUAUUAUAUAAGGUAAUGCCUGCCCAGUGACCAUGUGUUCAACGGCCGCGGUAUUCUGACCGCGCGAAGGUAGCGUAAUCACUUGUUUUCUAAAUAAAGACUAGUAUGAACGGCCACACGAGGACUUAACUGUCUCCCUUGUCCAAUCAGUGAAACUGAUCUCCUCGUGCAGAAGCGAGGAUAUUACCAUAAGACGAGAAGACCCUAUGGAGCUUUAAACUAAAAUCAACUAUUUUUAACUUCUCCCCAAGGAAUUAACAGAUAACCAAAUAUGCUUGAUACAAGUUUUAGGUUGGGGCGACCAUGGAGAAAAAGAAAUCCUCCCUGAUGACUCACAAACCAAGAGCCACGGCUCUAAGUAUUAAGAUACUUAACUUCCAUUGACCCAUUUAAUGAUCAACGAACCAAGUUACCCUAGGGAUAACAGCGCAAUCCAUUUCAAGAGUCCCUAUCGACAAAUGGGUUUACGACCUCGAUGUUGGAUCAGGGCAUCCAAGUGGUG
rnacentral:rRNA from 1 species